GGGGAUGCUUUUGUUGGAGGUUUUCUAUCUCAGCUAGUUCAAGAGAAACCCAUUGAAGAUUGCGUGAAGGCUGGUUGUUAUGCUGCAAAUGUGAUCAUCCAGAGGUCUGGCUGCACCUACCCAGAGAAGCCUGACUUUAACUGAGCCAUGAUUCCUUUUGUUCUCUACUUCCUAUCUAUGCUUCAUUUGAAAUUUUGAUUGUUGAGACUUGAGAAGUCUACUGCUAUUUUCCUGUCUCUGUAUUUGCUUAUCAAGUAUCGGUCGUUUAGUGGAUGCAUGCAUUAAUAGCCCACUAAACCCCAGUUAUUGGUUAUUAUGGGAUUUUUUGAUCCCUCCAUUGAAGAUGGGAUAGGACUACACGUAUUGUAUUCUACUGGUAGAAAAAUUCAGUUUUCCUUGAUAUCUGGUGAGAAGAAGCAUCGAACAGUUUCUCUCUGAUUCAAUUCUUUCCAAUCAUUAUAUAUCUGGUCAUAUGACGCAUUUCAAAUUUCUUAUAGAAUUGUUACUCUUUCUUCAGUUUCUUGUGUAAAACCAUAUACAGAAACCCAAGACAUUCAAAACAGAACCCAAAUUAUUCCCUGCAUAAAAAUGUUUUUGUCAGAUAACGCUCCAUAGAAGAACAUUUGCAGUCCAAACCUUUUUGUUUUUUUUUGUAUCAGAACAUGAAAUUCAUUAAGCCACAAAUGGGCAAAGAAAAAUAGAAGCAACAGAAGAGAAUAACAAGCACUGGAAACAACCAAACAAGGCCAACAGAACUAAGCAAAACACCAUAAAUAACACAAAAAAACACAGCAUGAAGAUCAUUUGCAGUCCAACUUGAACAGUCAUACAAUUCGUCAAGCCCCUUACGAGAAUGAUCCUCUCUUUAUCCUAAUCAAAUUUGACUGCAAACUAAGAUUUUCUCGUUUCGAGUAGAUAAACAUGCCCUAAAUGUAAGUGGGUGAGGCGGUGAGUCCUACUUAUUCAUUUAUAAUGCAAAUUUAGUACGAGCAGUAGUGUAGGUAUGAGUAUGACUGUACCAGUGACCUCGACUGCAAUAUGAUCUAGGGAAGCAAUCGUCGGUGAUCGAAAAUACUUUGCAUAAUUUUACUGCAGAAAGAAACAGUUGAAUGGUUCACUGGAGCCACGUUCUCUACCUACCUAUAUAUAUAUUUUCGUAUAAAGACACAGACAUGCUGCUUCAGCAGAUCUUUAUUCUGAAUCUUGCUACUGUCUCAUUGUCUUAAACUUACCACUCAUCUCUCUCUCUCUCUCUCUCUCUCUCUCUCUCUCUCUAUCUAGUCGCUCCUCAGCUUCUGUAAAUCAAUGGCCUCCGAAGGAAUCCUGUUGGGGAUGGGUAACCCCCUCCUUGACAUCUCUGCCGUUGUCGACGAAGACUUCUUGAAAAAGUAAGUUUUAUGUUUUCCCAACACUAAUAUAUGGAGCUAGCUUAUUCUUAUCCCCACAAACUAAAUGAUGUAUUGCGCUUAGAGGAUUUGGUUUUCUGGUUUAGCUGUACAGGAUCGAAUGUAUAGUUUGUACUCGGAAAUUUGGUGUCAUGGGAAUGACUUGAGGGCUAAGGUAGUGUUUGUUUUUGUGCAACAGAUAUGAUCUCCAACUCAACAAUGCAAUUCUUGCAGAGGACAAGCACUUACCCAUGUAAGGAAUUUAGUUUUAUGUACGGUCUAAAGUUUCUCAACUCUGGGGUGCUUUCAAAAUAGUUUCUAAAAGCUACCCCAAAGUAAUUAAAUUACCACUGUGAGACACUUGUGUGAUUGCUAAGCAGCAGCGUCUUUUGUUUUAAUAUGCUUUUUACUGGGUAAAAUUUAACAUGUAUAUAUCUCAGAUAUGAGGAACUUUGUUCCAACCCUAACGUGGAGUACACUGCUGGAGGUAAGCAUGGAUUACACUGUUUUGGUUUUCAAUAUUGUUACUGAGCAUAUCUCAAUUUGUUUUAGAUAUGGAUUGCUUGAGUUACUAAAUAUGAUGAGUAAAAAGAAUGAAACUUUUGAUUGUGGCAGGUGCUACUAACAAAUCCAUUCGAGUUGCCCAGGUACUUCAUUAACUGCUUCUUAUGAUACUCAAGUUAUUAAUCCGAUUAUUUCAUAUCAUUCUUUAAUAGCUGUGAUGUGAUCACCGUAAAGUGAUUUCUCUUUACUUUCUGCAGUGGAUGCUUCAAGAACCCGGUGCAACAAGUUAUAUGGGUAGCAUAGGGAAGGAUAAGUAUGGGGAUGAGAUGAAGAAAAACUCAAAACUUGCUGGUGUUAAUGUAAGUCUCUUAUUCUUUAUAAUGUGCAGUUAUGUACACGAACAAUGACACCAACUUUUGGAACUCAUAUCCUCUAAUCAAUUGCAGCAAGUAAUCUUAGUUUUCCUCCAAAUUUGCACCUUCAACACAUAUAUAUUCCCCUUGCUUCUGGUUCCUUUUAAAAAACAGGUUCACUUUUACGAGGAUGAGUCUGCACCAACAGGAACUUGUGCUGUUUGUAUCGUGGGUGAUGGGAGGUGAGCUUAAGUUCAUGCUAACUUGUUUAACGUUUUUCAGAUUAUGCCUGCCAAUUUGCCAAUUUGGUAGUUGUACUUGUACUGCAAGUGUUCAUAUAAGUAUAAACCCAUAAGAAGUUUCAGAUUAUACCUGCCAAUUUGUUAGUGUGUGUAUGUAGGUCACUUGUUGCCAAUUUGUCUGCUGCUAACUGCUACAAAUUUGAGCAUUUGAAAAGACCAGAAAAUUGGGCAUUGGGUGGGUACCCUUUCAAGUUUCAAUCUUGUGUUUUCAAUUUCAAUUUCUAGUAAUGCACUUACUUCUCUGAAGUGAUUUAUUCGUGAUUGAAUCCUGUUUGUCCCUGCAGUUGAGAAGGCCAAGUACUUGUACAUUGCUGGUUUUUUCCUAACUGUAUCGCCAGAAUCCAUACAGCUUGUUGCUGAACAUGCAGCCAGUAAUAACAAGGUUUUGGAAAUGACAUAAUCUCAUCAAAUUUUUUGUUUCAAUCAGUUCCUGUUUUCAAUAGCAUUUGCUAGAAAUAGUCUUGACACUUCCAAUUAAUUGCAGAUUUUCGGGAUGAACCUUUCUGCUACGUUUAUCUGCGAGUUUUUCAAGGAUGUUCAGGAGAAAGCUUUGCAGUAAGCGUUUUUCCUUCCUCUCCGGCAUAACAAUCAAGUAAUAUGGACGAGCUGAUGCAUGUUUUGGAAUGCAGGUAUGUGGACUAUGUUUUUGGAAAUGAGACAGAAGCAAGAACAUUCUCACAAGUUCAUGGCUGGGAGGUAAAUGGUUGCUCUAGUACUAGAUAGAUCUUACCAAUUAAUGUAGAAUCACUCAUAUUUUAACCUAUGUUGAUCGAUUAGUUUGAUUCAUCAGAUUGAUGAUGUUGAAGAAAUAGCUCUAAAGAUCUCCCAGUGGCCGAAAGCAUCAGGAGCCCACAAGAGGAUUACUGUCAUUACUCAGGGAGCAGAUCCUGUAGUCGUCGCUGAGGAAGGGAAAGUGAAGAAGUUCCCAGUGGUAUUGUUGCCCAAAGAAAAGAUUGUUGAUACUAUUGGAGCAGGUAUCUCUUAUAUGUAGUGAUAGGGAAAUAUCUGCUAUCUUAGAGUUAGUUAAUCCAGCAAACACUAACAAAUGGAAGUACAAGAUAUAAAUUGUUUGUUAACUUCUUGAUAUUAUUUUUGGGUCUAGGGGAUGCGUUUGUUGGUGGCUUUCUAUCGCAGUUAGUUCAAGAGAAACCUACUGAAGAGUGCGUGAGAGCCGGUUGUUAUGCUGCAAGUGUGAUCAUCCAGAGGUCUGGCUGCACCUACCCAGAGAAGCCUGAUUUUCACUGAACCAUGAUUCCUUCUGUUCUUUAGUUCCUACCUAUGCUUUAUGUUGAAGUUUUGAUUGUUGAGAACUCUACUGAUAAAGUAGUCUAGGG
rnacentral:lncRNA from 1 species